rnacentral:rRNA from 1 species
AGUGAACGCUGGCGGUAGGCCUAACACAUGCAAGCCGGGCGGUAUUGUUUCUACGGAAAUGAGAGAGCGGCGUACGGGUGCGUAACACGUGUGCAACCUGCCUUUAUCUGGGGGAUAGCCUUUCGAAAGGAAGAUUAAUACUCCAUAACAUAUUGAACGGCAUCGUUUAAUAUUGAAAGCUCCGGCGGAUAGAGAUGGGCACGCGCAAGAUUAGCUAGUUGGUGAGGUAACGGCUCACCAAGGCGAUGAUCUUUAGGGGGCCUGAGAGGGUGAUCCCCCACACUGGUACUGAGACACGGACCAGACUCCUACGGGAGGCAGCAGUGAGGAAUAUUGGUCAAUGGGUGCAAGCCUGAACCAGCCAUCCCGCGUGAAGGACGACUGCCCUAUGGGUUGCAAACUUCUUUUGUAUAGGGAUAAACCUACCCUCGUGAGGGUAGCUGAAGGUACUAUACGAAUAAGCACCGGCUAACUCCGUGCCAGCCGCCGCUGUAACAC